CCAUUCACUGCAGAGGAUCCAUUGGUGAGCAAGUGAUGUAAUGCUACAUUUCACUGAAUAUGUUCCUGGUGAAGAAACAAAUUAUUGGAUGGCCUGAAAGACUCCAGGGACAAGGGGAUCUCUUCUCUCUUGUCAAUGUGUAGAUUGUUGAAACUCCCCCAGGAGAACUCCGGCUGGACUCAUGUGGAUUCUCUGGGAGUGAGUCGGUUCGCAUGCAGACAGACACGAUAUACAGUACAUUCCCGCCUGUGCAAGGUAAUGAUGGGCUGUGUAACUUGACAAGCUACAGUUCCAGAGUAUUUCAGCUACAAGCAAAAACAUU